UUUUUAGUAUGAAGAACUUAAAAUUUUAUAUUUAAUUUAUUUAUUGUUAAAACUAUAUUAAAUUAUUGCUAAAGAAAUUUGUAUAAUGUACUAAAUGUGACUAUAUGAAAAAAUCCAAAGUUUGAAUAAUACAUAUGAGUUAACUUAAAAACUGAGCUAAAAAUUGUGAAGGAAAAUAUUUGCACACUGAAACUUAUUGAAAUUUUUACAAGAACUAAAAAUAAAAUUUUGAGAUAUUUUAUAAGGACUAAAAUUUUAUUUAUUACUUUUUUUCUUUUUUUUUCUUAUAUAUAUAUAUAUAUAUAUAUAUAUAUAUAUAUAUAUAUAU
rnacentral:lncRNA from 1 species